UACGAAGGUGGCAAGCGUUGUUCGGAUUUACUGGGCGUAAAGGGAGCGUAGGUGGUUAGGUAAGCCCUCCGGGAAAUCUUCAGGCUUAACCUGAAAAGGUCGGGGGGGACUGCCUAGCUAGAGGGCGGGAGAGGAGCGCGGAAUUCCCGGUGUAGCGGUGAAAUGCGUAGAGAUCCGGAGGAAGACCGGUGGCGAAGGCGGCCUGCUGGCAGUACUGACACUGAGACGCGAAAGCGAGUGGGGAGCGAACGAGG
rnacentral:rRNA from 1 species